UGAGGUAGUAGUUUGUAUAG
rnacentral:ncRNA from 2 species